rnacentral:rRNA from 1 species
AUUGAACGCUGGCGGCAUGCUUUACACAUGCAAGUCGAACGGCAGCGCGGGCUUCGGCCUGGCGGCGAGUGGCGAACGGGUGAGUAAUGCAUCGGAACGUGCCCAGUAGUGGGGGAUAGCCCGGCGAAAGCCGGAUUAAUACCGCAUACGACCUGAGGGUGAAAGCGGGGGACCGAAAGGCCUCGCGCUAUUGGAGCGGCCGAUGUCGGAUUAGCUAGUUGGUGGGGUAAAGGCUUACCAAGGCGACGAUCCGUAGCUGGUCUGAGAGGACGACCAGCCACACGGGGACUGAGACACGGCCCAGACUCCUACGGGAGGCAGCAGUGGGGAAUUUUGGACGAUGGGGGAAACCCUGAUACAGCAAUGCCGCGGGCGGGAAGAAGGCCUUCGGGUUGUAAACCGCUUUUGUUCGGGAAGAAAUCCUCUGGGCUAAUACCCCGGGGGGAUGACGGCACCGGAAGAAUAAGCACCGGCUAACUACGUG